GGCAGAAUGGCCGAGUGGUCUAUGGCGACGGUCUCAAGCACAUGAAUAUGUCCUUUCGCAUCUUUCCAAAGAAGCGUUCCGUUCACGAAAGUGGCCGGGGUUCGAAUCCCCGUUCUGUCA
rnacentral:tRNA from 1 species